ACGAACGCUGGCGGCGUGCUUAACACAUGCAAGUCGAACGGGCCCGCUCUCUUUUUUGGGGGUGGGUUGAGUGGCGAACGGGUGAGUAUCACGUGAGUAACCUGCCCCCUGCUCCUGGAUAACUGCUUGAAAGGGCGGCUAAUACGGGGUGUGCCGGCUGGUCCGCAUGGGCCUGGUCGGGAUAGUUUCAUCUUCGGGUGUUUCGGUGGGGGAUGGGCUCGCGGCCUAUCAGCUUGUUGGUGGGGUGAUGGCCCACCAAGGCGGUGACGGGUAGCCGGCCUGAGAGGGUGGGCGGCCACACUGGGACUGAGACACGGCCCAGACUCCUGCGGGAGGCAGCAGUGGGGGGUAUUGCACAAUGGGCGGAAGCCUGAUGCAGCGACGUCGCGUGAGGGAUGGAGGCCUUCGGGUUGUGGACCUCUUUCUCCGGUGGUGAAGGCCCUGUCCGUUGCGGCGGGGUUGACGGUAGCCGGGUAUGAAGCGCCGGCUAACUACGUG
rnacentral:rRNA from 1 species